rnacentral:autocatalytically_spliced_intron from 1 species
AACCGCCCUGUACGGACCCGUACGCAGGGUGGUGUGGGAGGGGCGGAACCGCAAGGCUCCCCCCUAUCCCGAU